UCCCCAUCACCCCACAAUGUCCCCAUCCCAUUAAAGUGUCCCCAUCACACUGUGGUGUCCCCAUUAAUCCAUGGUGUCCCCAUCCCCCCAUGGUGUCCCCAUCACCCCACAAUGUCCCCAUCCCACUGUGCUGUCCCCAUCCCCCCAUGGUGUCCCCAUCCCAUUGGGGUCUCCCCAUCCAUCCAUGGUGUCCCCAUCACCCCACAAUGUCCCCAUCCUUCCAUGAUGACCCCAUCACAUUAAAGUGUCCCCAUCCCCCCAUGGUGUCCCCAUGACCCCAUAAUGUCCCCAUCACCCCAUGGUGUCCCCAUCCCCCCACAAUGUCCCCAUCCCAUUAAAGCGUCCCCAUCACACUGUGGUGUCCCCAUCCCCCCAUGGUGUCCCCAUCACCCCAUAAUGUCUCCAUCCUUCCAUGGUGUCCCCAUCCCAUUGGGGUCUCCCCAUCCUUCUAUGGUGUCCCCAUCCCCCCACAAUGUCCCCAUCCCCCCAUGGUGUCCCCAUCCCCCCAUAAUGUCCCCAUCACCCCACAAUGUCCCCAUCCUUCCAUGAUGACCCCAUCACAUUAAAGUGUCCCCAUCCCCCCAUGGUGUCCCCAUCACCCCACAAUGUCCCCAUCCUUCCAUGAUGACCCCAUCACCCCACAGUGUCCCCAUCCCAUUAAAGUGUCCCCAUCACACUGUGGUGUCCCCAUCCCCCCAUGGUGUCCCCAUCACCCCAUAAUGUCUCCAUCCUUCCAUGUGUCCCCAUCACCCCACAAUGUCCCCAUCCCAUUAAAGUGUCCCCAUCCCCCAUGGUGUCCCCAUCCCAUUGGGGUCUCCCCAUCCUUCUAUGGUGCCCCAUCACCCCACAAUGUCCCCAUCCCCCCAUGCUGUGCGGGUGGCAUUACUGCAGGUGACGUCCCCAUUAUGUCCCCAUUAUGUCCCCAUUAUACCCCC
ensembl:lncRNA